CUCAGAUCUUCUCCUCUGCUCCUAUUGCCUUCUCCACUGCUCCUAUUGUUGCUACUUUUCAUAUAUCUAGUUCAAGGAUUGGCUGGAGAAGACGAAGAAGGAUUGACAAAUAAACGAUUGGCUUUUCGUAUUUCUGGAUUGAUGGUGAUGUGCAGGUGAGGAAGAAGCUUUAUGUGCCGAGUGGAGGACAAGAAUAGUCACAUGAGAAUGCUCAACAUCUCGUGUUGAUGAUCUGGUUGCGAAUUCGAUGGAUAUUUUAAAAGCGGCUGCGGUGGAUGCCGAUGGAAAUGAAUGCGAAGACGUUUUACAGGCAAGGUGAUGAAGUUGAUUUGUUCCUCUAACCAGCAAAUCAUGCUCAAGUGAGGGAGGCAGAUCAAGCAGAAACACAAGCAAUGCAACUUGCAGAGUGAGUUGAUGGCUGCGAAGUCUACUGGAGCUCAGCAAUGAGGAGUUAGAGAUAGUCAAAGCUGGUGCAGCUCAGCAAAAUGAAGAGUUAGAGGCAGUGAAGGCUAGAGCCGCUGCACAAAAUGAAGAGUUGGAGGCACUAAAGGCAAGACAAAAUCAUACCGACAUACUUUUACUUAAAUUGAUGGUGCCGUUAUCCUCCCAAAACUGAUGAUUGGUCUAAGCUUAAAAAAAGUACAUCUUGCAAACUAUCAUUGAAGGCCGCCUUAUUGAACUUCUAGAAAGACUUGUAUGUAUUUCCAUUUAUUUUGAAAUUGCUGUUAAGGAUGGAUUGACAUUUGUAUAUUUUGGAUUUGCAAAUUUAAUUAGUAUGUCAGGAUAGAGAUACAUGUCUUAUAUUGUAUUGGAAUUGAGUAGUUUAAUAUU
rnacentral:lncRNA from 1 species